GCGUAGGGUACGUAGGUGGUGAGAAAAGAGAAAACAAAAAUACUAGGUACUCAUCUUUUGUGUUUUUUUGCUGUCUCAUAGAAUCUCAGAAAGGGCGUGGUACGUUUUGGGGAGUGGUUAAAUAGUAGAUAAAAAAUGGACCGACAGUGGCGAAAGAAUUACCUUUUCGAGUAUUGACGUAAGGUACGAAGGCAGGGGAGCAAAGAGGAUUAGACACCCUCGUAGUCCGUGUGUCAACGCUGAGUUUUCAAUGUAGAAUUAAUGGAAAAUAAAGUUUUUAAAUUCUAAUCAAAGUAUAUUUUAAUAAAAUAAAAACUUUGAAAUAAAUUUAUUUUUAUUUUUCAAAAUAUGGUGUUUGAGUAACGCAUUAAAUUCUCCGCUGGGAAGUACGGCCGCAGGUUGGAACUCAAAAGAAUUGAGGUGACUUGUACGAGG
rnacentral:rRNA from 1 species